rnacentral:rRNA from 1 species
CAGCAGCCGCGGGAAUACGUAGGUGGCAAGCGUUGUCCGGAAUUAUUGGGCGUAAAGGGCUCGCAGGCGGUUUCUUAAGUCUGAUGUGAAAGCCCCCGGCUCAACCGGGGAGGGUCAUUGGAAACUGGGAAACUUGAGUGCAGAAGAGGAGAGUGGAAUUCCACGUGUAGCGGUGAAAUGCGUAGAGAUGUGGAGGAACACCAGUGGCGAAGGCGACUCUCUGGUCUGUAACUGACGCUGAGGAGCGAAAGCGUGGGGAGCAAAUGGGAUUAGAUACCCCUGUAGUCCCUGUCUCUUAUAC